UACGGGGGGGGCAAGCGUUGUUCGGAAUUACUGGGCGUAAAGGGCGCGUAGGCGGCCUGCUAAGUCGGAUGUGAAAUCCCUCGGCUCAACCGAGGAACUGCAUCCGAUACUGUCGAGCUCGAGUCCGGAAGAGGCGAGUGGAAUUCCUGGUGUAGCGGUGAAAUGCGCAGAUAUCAGGAGGAACACCUAUGGCGAAGGCAGCUCGCUGGGACGUGACUGACGCUGAGACGCGAAAGCGUGGGGAGCAAACAGG
rnacentral:rRNA from 1 species